rnacentral:rRNA from 1 species
UGCGUAGGGGGCUAGCGUCGUCCGGAUUUAUUGGGCGUAAAGAGCGUGUAGGCGGCCAGGUAGGUCUGCUGUGAAAACUCGAGGCUCAACCUCGAGACGUCGGCGGAAACCAUCUGGCUAGAGUCCGGAAGAGGAGAGUGGAAUUCCUGGUGUAGCGGUGAAAUGCGCAGAUAUCAGGAAGAACACCCGUGGCGAAGGCGGCGCGCUGGGACGGUACUGACGCUGAGACGCGAAAGCGUGGGGAGCGAACAGG